AUAAAGAGGGACGUUGGAGGUAGCUAAAACGCCACGAAGCAGCAGUGUUUCGUCAAAAGAGAACUGCGUUCAAGAAAGCGAUUUCGUACCAGUCCUUCCAUGUGUUCUACACGAAGCUGCUGCUAGCCUGAUCAACGAGCAGCCUAUGCCUUCUCCUCGUACGAUGCCUGGAACCAGGGGCAAAAUAGGAAAACUAAUGGAAAGAGGACCUACACCAACAGUUAUGAAACAUAAUGGUCGAAUUCAAAUCUCCCGAAACACUGCCACGUCAGCUAAAAUAAUUCAUUCACCGAUGUCAGCAAGAUGCGUUGAACCGUCGAAUUCUCUUAUGGAAGUUUCCGUCCUCGAGGCUGUUGGAGGG